AGCUUCGGCCAUCCGGCGAGGGAUGGGCCCGCGGUCCAUUAGCUAGUUGGUGGGGUAACGGCCUACCAAGGCGACGAUGGAUAGCUGGUCUGAGAGGACGAUCAGCCACACUGGGACUGAGACACGGCCCAGACUCCUACGGGAGGCAGCAGUCGGGAAUCUUGCGCAAUGGGCGAAAGCCUGACGCAGCAACACCGUGUGGGCGACGAAGGCCUUCGGGUCGUAAAGCCCUGUUGUUGGGGACGAAGGGCGAAGGGUUAAUAGCCC
rnacentral:rRNA from 1 species